UUAGAUACCCUAUUAUUAAAAAUGUAAAUUUUAAAACUAAGUGAUUAAUAGUUAAGUUCUUUAAAGCUAAAUGAUUUGGCGGUAUUUUAAUCUUUUCAGAGGAACCUGUCCAGUAAUUGAUAUUCCACGAUUGAAUUAACUUAAAAUAGAAAUUUUUAUAUCGUUGUUAUUAAAUAUUUUAAAAGAAUUUAAUAUUUAUUUUUUUUUAUAAGAAAAUAAAUCAAAUCAAGGUGAAGUUAAUAUUUAAGAAUGAGAUGGGUUACAAUAAAUUUUAUUUGUUGGAAAAGUAAUUUUAAAAAUUUUUAGAAAUUGGAUUUGAAAGUAAUUAUAUAUAC
rnacentral:rRNA from 1 species